CAGGUGGAUAGUUAGUUGGAUCGGAUCCUAGCCAAGGAAACAUCGCGCUCCUUCCACCCUUUACUCUCAGAUUUCACAGGCAAUAUCUCCAAAGAUGCAUCGACUGACUCUCUUCGCUGUGUGCCUCUUGGUCGCCGCCUCAGUGCUUCUGCCGCGGCGGAGGCGAGGCCGCAGAUUCACUCAUACGACGUCGCCGAAGUCAAUGCCGAAGUCUUCGAGGAACAGGACGAGGUGGAGGAGUCCGAACGCGGAGGAAAUUACGUCGAGAUCCAGGAGAGCGUGGUGGAGGACGGCGCGUCCCCACACGGGCGCCGCCGGGAGCAUCGCCCUCGAAGUCCUCGACGAAGUUGGAGACGCCCUCGCUCCAGGGGCGACGGCCUGCGCAGGAUGGAGGCGCUGCUCAAGGCCUCCCGGGGCGGCUACGGCAGAUGAGAUUCCCUUUAAAUGUGACUGAGAUCCCAGAGAAAUGGAACGAAUGCUUCAAGAACGUUUCACGAUUGUAUAGACAUCAGCAUAUAUUUUUUAUAAUAAAAGUAAAGAAAAUAUA
rnacentral:lncRNA from 1 species